CAUAAAAGGAAAAAGAUAGUGAUGGUGAUGAUUCGCUUGUUGGCAUAGAAAUUCUACAUAUUUACGUUGAGUUGAUGAUCCCAUGUUGAUUGCAAAAAUGCUGUUGACUGUAGUAAGCUAAAGAAGAAUGUUCUCAUCCGUUAUGGGUUGAGAUUGUUCCGUACGUAAUGCAAUAGUCGCCCAUCAAAGGCCCAUAUACUACUAUGGGCCAAUUGGCCGUGUCAUUGCUGCGUGCUUCCGUCGCGUUGACACGCUGACACGAGGGUGGUCGAGCUACAGGAGGGUUGGGCGUGCUGUUCUUCGCGGCGGAGCUGCUGCAGUUGCCGGUAGAGCGUUGGUGCGGUGCUUCUCGAGGAAGCAUAGCCCUGACAUCCGCAGAAUAAAUCCGAAGGUGCCGAGGGAGUAAGCCACCGCAAUCUCUCACAGCCUCUACCAGAUCGUCAAGGACCAUGGCCCCGUCUCCGUCUCCAACACUUGGAACCACGCCAAGGAAUCUAGCAUCAAUGGAUCGAACAGUAAAACCCAUAUGAAAAUCAUGCUGAAAUGGAUGAUGGGUAGGAAGAUGCUCAAGAUUUCAUGUACUCAUGUUGAUUCUGCAAAAGAAGUUUCACCGCUCUAUUCUGCCGGAAGAUCCUCAAGCUCUGCACCACCAUCUGACACACUGAAUGACUCUAGGCAAGGAGAAAAAAGCAGACACAAAGUACAUCAAAUAGGAGGGGGAUAUGAAGUAUGUUUCAUGCCACCGCGAAAAGGAUAAGCUGUGCUCAAUGUUGUGAGUGAACAACGUCAUUAUCUUGUCAUUAGAUAAACAUGUUUCAACCUCAACACCCUAAGUCCAUAAUUCAUGUGAAUCCUAAUGUAACGUUUUUAGCUUGUGAUGACCAAUUGUGAGCACGGUGUUUAUUAUGCUGUUAUUUAUUUUCAUGCUGACGAGAGCCUAUCUAAGUAUUAUUUCCAAAACUUGGUUCUUUUUA